UGUUUUGAUUGUGUUUUGGAAGUCAACCAGAUGAAAUAGAUUUCUUAUUUUUAACGAGAUCAGCUAUGCCAGCUGUCAAACACAAAGCCUGGCAGCAUAUUCUGGCUUUUGCGUUCAAUCAUGUGAUAAGAUUACUCAUUUAAAGCACUUUAUCCAUUCAGCAACUAUCAGUUCGGAUCUGGCAAAGGUGGUUUAUACCUCUGUGUCGUGUGGCCAACAAAAAUUACCACCGUUUCAGCAUCCAGCGUCUUCCUGCCAUUCCUACCUAACAAACCAACACACAUAGACAUGGACCCCAAAACCAUUUUCUUGUGGACUGCCAAGUCUUUACUUUCUUCAUCGUAAUUCCUGGCCCCACUAUCUUUUUAGUCUUCGAGUAACAGCUAGCUAGGGCAUUUUCCUUUUCUUUCCCAUGUAAAAAGAUCUUCAAGAUUCUGAUCUCUGAGUAUUAACUCUCUCAAGCCAUCUAAAAGUAACGCCAUGACAGCAAAAUGAAAAAAAGUGAUGGAAUGCCGAAUAGUAAAUAAGCAGCGGCCUGUAGGAGAUCAUCGUGGAACAUCGUGCAAAAUGUUGUUAUAUGGCCCGUCUUCGCCUCGUGUUCGCGCCGUCUUCGCCUUGCCCGUCGC